CAGUCGCCGCGGGAAUACGGAGGGUGCGAGCGUUAAUCGGAAUUACUGGGCGUAAAGCGUACGCAGGCGGUUUGUUAAGUCAGAUGUGAAAUCCCCGAGCUUAACUCGGGAACUGCAUUUGAAACUGGCAGGCUAGAGUCCCGUAGAGGGGGGUAGAAUUCCAGGUGUGGCGGUGAAAUGCGUAGAGAUCUGGAGGGAUACCGGUGGCGAAGGCGGCCCCCUGGACAAAGACUGACGCUCAGGUGCGAAAGCGUGGGGAGCAAACAGGAUUAGAUACCCCAGUAGUCCCUGUCUCUUAUAC
rnacentral:rRNA from 1 species